GACAGAGGUGCCAAGCGUUAGGCGGAAUCACUGGGCUUAAAGCGUGUGUAGGCGGACUGGUAAGUACCUUGUGAAAUCCCACGGCUUAACCGUGGAACUGCUCGGUAUACUGCCGGUCUUGAGCCACCUAGGGGCGAGCGGAACAAAUGGUGGGGCGGUGAAAUGCGUAGAUAUCAUAUGGAACGCCAAUGGUGAAAACAGCUCGCUGGGGGUGUGCUGACGCUGAGACACGAAAGCCAGGGGAGCAAACGGG
rnacentral:rRNA from 1 species